GACGAACGCUGGCGGCGUGCUUAACACAUGCAAGUCGAACGAGAACGCCCGGUCUUGUGGGGCACGGGUGGGUGAAGGGGGGGAACAUGCGUUUAGGUUCGGAAUAACUCCCCGAAAGGGGUGCUAAUAACGGGUAAUAUCUUCGGACAAGAGAUAUAUUGCGUUUGGAUGGGGCCGCGUUGGAUUAGCUUGUUGGUAGGGUAAAAGCCUACCAAGGCGACGAUCCGUAGCUGGUCUGAGAGGAUGAACAGCCACACUGGGACUGGGACACGGCCCAGACUCAUACGGGAGGCAGCGGUCGGGAAUAAUGGAGAGUGGGCGAGAGCCUGAUCCAGCAAUGCCGCGUGAGUGAUGAAGGCGUUAGGGAUGCAUAGCUCUUUUGCCCGGGAUGAUAAUGACGGUACCUGGAGAAGAAGCUCCGGCUAACUACGUG
rnacentral:rRNA from 1 species